AUGCUACGCAUUGGCGUGAUUACCCAUAGCAUGAGUCCAUUUGCUGCCCCAGUCCUCUUGGCGAAGAAAAAGGAUGGCACGUGGCGGUUCUGUGUGGAUUACAGACGCCUGAGCCUGGUGACCAUCAAGAACAAACUUUCUCUUCUAGUAAUCCAUGAGCUCUUGGAUGAAUUACCCGGGGCAGCCUUCUUUACAAAGACUGACUUGCGCGCGGGGUAUCACCAAAUAUGCAUGCGUGCGGGCGAUGAGGAGAAGACGAAUUUCAAGACUCACCACGGCCACUUCGAGUUCCGAGUCAUGCCGUUUGGUGUCACAAACGACCCUCCCACCUUUCAGUGUGUGAUGAACUAA
rnacentral:rRNA from 1 species